rnacentral:rRNA from 1 species
CUACGUGCCAGCAGCCGCGGUAAUACGUAGGUCCCGAGCGUUGUCCGGAUUUAUUGGGCGUAAAGCGAGCGCAGGCGGUUAGAUAAGUCUGAAGUUAAAGGCUGUGGCUUAACCAUAGUACGCUUUGGAAACUGUUUAACUUGAGUGCAAGAGGGGAGAGUGGAAUUCCAUGUGUAGCGGUGAAAUGCGUAGAUAUAUGGAGGAACACCGGUGGCGAAAGCGGCUCUCUGGCUUGUAACUGACGCUGAGGCUCGAAAGCGUGGGGAGCAAACAGGAUUAGAUACCCUGGUAGUCCACGCCGUAAACGAUGAGUGCUAGGUGUUAGACCCUUUCCGGGGUUUAGUGCCGUAGCUAACGCAUUAAGCACUCCGCCUGGGGAGUACGACCGCAAGGUUGAAACUCAAAGGAAUUGACGGGGGCCCGCACAAGCGGUGGAGCAUGUGGUUUAAUUCGACGCAACGCGAAGAACCUUACCAGGUCUUGACAUUGAUGGACAGAACUAGAGAUAG